rnacentral:lncRNA from 7 species
GUAACCAGAGACCACGUCACCGGUCUGGAUUGGAGAGAACUUCGCAGAGGCCUGGAAAUAAAGUGACAUAAACCUGGAAAAUGCUCUACCCAUGUAAUUCCACAAAUCAGCCUUGCUAACAAAGGAUAAUGAAAAGCUACAACUGAAGGACAUCUAUGAAGAGAUUAGAAACUGGUUAAUUUUAGGGCAACCUUAACUGUAUGUCCAGGGUAGUAGCUAGAAUUGUUUCCCUUAACUGUGUAAUAGCUAGAAUGUAUCUUAGGUUCUCAUCUAGGCAAAAAGGAAAGGAUAGGGGAAAAAAGUCAUGAUAUUCUUUGUGGAUGCUGCUUUGUAUACAGACAAUGCUGUAGCUAGUAGGGUGGAAAGGACAUCAGAAGGUCAUCUCAUCAGUCUUUCUGCCCACAGUAUGCUUAGCUGGAUGUAAAUAAACUGUUUCUGAUAGAUGUUACAGUAUUUUGUAACAGUUGAAGUUGGAAGGGCCCUCAUGAGAUCACCUUUUCCAGACCCUGUGCACAAAUUGGGGUCAUUCACAGCAGCUUCCUCAGGGCCUUGUCUGAUCAGGUGUUGAAUACACCCAAGGACAGAGACACGGCAGUCUCUCUGGACAAUAAGCUCAAGCUUUCAAUCACCCUUGCAAUGACAAUGGGGUUUUUUUUGUUUGUUUGUUUUAAAUGAAAUUUCUCAUAUUUCAGUUUAUGUCUAUUGUCUCUUGUCCUUUCACUAGUCACAGAGCAGUCUGUCUCAAUCUUCCUUACAUCUCCCCUUCCCAGGUAUUUAUACAUGUUGAUGAAAUAUUCAGUCUUCUCUUCCUGGGCUCAACAGCAAGCACACAUGGCAUGUGAAACUAAAUCAGUGCCCGAAGGGGAGAUUCCUUCACAAACUUAUUCCACACUGAAUAGCAGAGGCAGUAUUCUUUGUGAAUGGCUGUGUCCAUUCUCCAGGCUUUCUAAGUGAUGACAUUCAAUCCUUGGUGUGUUAGACCUUGUCUGAAAUUGUUCUAUAAGUAUUAUAAUAAGUUAAAGUAGAUUCUUUUAAACCAAUCAGUUUUGAUGUAAUUAUCAUGCUGGUAUUCAUUACUCAGCAGACAGAACAGUGAAUCCCAUACAGCUUUUGUUUUCACAAAAUUUUUGUUUUUCUCUAAAUUAAAUGCCAACAUCUUAAAAUAGAUUUUCUGAGUAGCAAAAAAGAUUAUCUCUGUGAUUUACUUCUGCAUGGAGGAAGCUUUCUUCAGCCCUUUAUGGGUUCUAAAUACACCACUCUCAAUAGUGGAUAUAACAGCAGAGAGCAUUGCCCAGGUGUAAAAGACACAAACUUCUUUUUCUUCCUCCUUAAGAAAAAAUUUUCCUUCAUUGCUUCUUGAAAAUCUUCUACUACUACCAUAAUCUUGUCUGGAGUGGCAUGUCUGGUAUUUUAUUAGCAGCACAUGUACACUGUUACAGGCACAAGAGAAAGUUUUGGCACCAACAGAAACAACGCCUGUGUCUGAGAUCACAGCGUGACAAACUAAAUUGCCAGGCAUGGAGUCUGGAGCAAAUCUUUGUUCUGUAUGUGCUUUGGUCUUGUAAAAGAAUUAGCAUGUAAGUUGUUGCACAGAACUCAUGGAACAGAGACUGCAAAUUU